rnacentral:tRNA from 1 species
UAUAUUUAAGUAUAUGAUGUACGUGGGCUUUUGGUGCCUAAGGGGAUAGUUUAAAUCUAUUAAAUGUAA